rnacentral:rRNA from 1 species
AGGACGAACGCUGGCGGCGUGCUUCACACAUGCAAGUCGAACGGGGCUCAUUCGGUGGUAACACCGGAGAAGGCCUAGUGGCGAACGGGUGCGUAACACGUGAAGAACCUGCCCCGAAGACUGGGAUAACAGCGGGAAACCGCUGCUAAUACCGGAUGACCCCACCAGGCCGCAUGGCCAGGUGAGGAAAUGGGCCUACCGCUUCGGGAGGGCUUCGCGGCCUAUCAGCUUGUUGGUGGGUAACGGCCUACCAAGGCUACGACGGGUAGCUGGUCUGAGAGGACGACCAGCCACACUGGGACUGAGACACGGCCCAGACUCCUACGGGAGGCAGCAGUGGGGAAUCUUGCGCAAUGGGCGAAAGCCUGACGCAGCAACGCCGCGUGAGGGAUGAAGGUCUUCGGGUUGUAAACCUCUUUCGAGCAGGGACGAUUGUGACGGUACCUGCAGAAGAAGCUCCGGCCAACUACGUGCCAGCAGCCGCGGU